rnacentral:rRNA from 1 species
CAGAGGUCUCAAGCGUUGUUCGGAAUCACUGGGCGUAAAGGGUGCGUAGGUGGCGUGGUAAGUCAGAUGUGAAAGCCCAGGGCUCAACCCUGGAAUUGCAUCCGAUACUGCCAUGCUGGAGUACUGGAGGGGUGACUAGAAUUCUCGGUGUAGCAGUGAAAUGCGUAGAUAUCGAGAGGAAUACCAAAGGCGUAGGCAGGUCACUGGACAGUUACUGACACUGAGGCACGAAGGCCAGGGGAGCGAACGGGAUUAGAUACCCCGGUAGUCCUGGCAGUAAACGGUGCAUACUUGGUGUGGGAAGAUUCGACCCUUCCUGUGCCGGAGCUAACGCGUUAAGUAUGCCGCCUGGGAAGUACGGUCGCAAGAUUA